UUAUUUUUUCAUAAUCGGUAUUUAUAAUCGAAUCAUUAGUAAUUGGUAUUAUAUUAGCGGUCUAUUACUCCAAUACUCCACUACUCCAGUGUCCAGUAUUUGCUAUUUAGACUCCCACUACGACUACUCCCAUGGUCCAGGCGUCGGAACUAGCAGCUGCAGAAAUCAGAAUAUCACUGACAGGGUAGAAUAUAGAUUACCUACAGAACAUUAAGUAUUAAAUUCAGUUACAUUAGCCUAUUAGAUAUAUAUCAAAUGAACGGCUUUCAAUAAACCCACUGAAGAAUACAUUAAUUGAAUAUUUUAAAAGUUACAUUCACAACCAUAAGCAAACCAUUUAUCAUUAGCCACCUCAAACGCUGUUUUUUGAUUUUUAAUGGAGCAAAAGUAUCGUUUUUCCCCCCUGAAUAAUACCAGGAAGGCUGCAAUAUGCAAUACCUAUGGUUGACAGAUAUAAUCUUAAUAUGUUAUCUAUAUUAUGAAUGAUGAACCUAUUCCACUGCUGUUUUAUGGUAAAGUACUAAAGUAGUAU